CCUUUCUAAGGAUGAUCAAGAAUUGGAACUCUUUAAAUAAAAAGACCCUUCCUUUUUGAUCGCGUUAGACAUCAAGGUUUAAAGCAAUUUAAACCUUUGCAUAUGAUGCUAACUCUCAAUAGAACAUUCUCGCAAAAGAGAUCCCUCUUUGCAAAAAGAGGCCCCCAUCUCUUGAGGUCCUUGCCUCUGCUGAGAAAAGUUCAUGAGAGCUUAGUGCCAUGUGUUGACAAUAUACAAGCAGGCUAGCCGUCUUCGUUUCUCUUUCUUCAGAUGAUGAUCCCAAGCCUUCUGGCGAUCUCUAAAAAUAAAGCCUCUCCUCUCUUGGUAAAGAUAAGGAGUGCUGUAAACAAAGAGCUGAAAAAUCUUCUGCCUUCUGCAUUGUAAGAAAAAGCUCCUCUGUUAAGAGUAUGCCGGGGAAGGUUUUCCGGUUUAUCCCGGAGGGCUUGUAGCUCAGUUGGUUAGAGCGCGCGCUUGAUAAGCGUGAGGUCGGAGGUUCAAGUCCUCCCAGGCCCACCAAUCACUCUAUCAAUUUAGAUACACUGGCAAUUUAAAUGCGCCGACACCUUUUGCUUGUGAGGCAGCUUGCUAAAACUUGUAAAAACAUGCCUAUAAAUCAGGGUGUCAUAAAAAACACUAUAAAGGAAACUUAUAAAUUGGCUGAUUUGCUCUUGUAGGAUAAUGUCCUUAAACUUGCUGAUAAAGGGUAUUAUAAAAUGAAGUUCCUUGAUUAAGGCGAGUUAUAAGUGUUAUAAAUAUUUAGAAGUGUUAUGAGAGGCGUUAUGAAAUAUACUGCUUCUUUGUUUGUUUUCGGCAACACAAGGUGAGGCAAUUUACAGCAGGAUGUGGCAGUUCAAAAGGUGGUGCUAUUUUCCCUUGCCUAUCUCGAAUUUUACCUGCUUUCAAAUUUUGUAAAUGCUUUAAAAUUUACAAAUUUUUGCCUAUAUUGUAUUUUUUUAGGGGCCGUAGCUCAGCUGGGAGAGCACCUGCUUUGCAAGCAGGGGGUCGUCGGUUCGAUCCCGUCCGGCUCCACCACUUAGGUCAUCAUCAUUGUUGUGAGAACAUUGUUUUGUAAGAGGUUUUAAUAACUUCUUGCCUGUUCUAUUGAAAUUGUGAAGAGAAGAUAUAUUCAGAUGUGAUUUUUUACAUCCUGUCUUUAACAAGCACUGUCUUUAAAGAAAUUUUCUUUAAAGAGAGGCUUAAAGAUAAAGCUAUGAAAAAUAGAUAAAACUGUAAAAAAUCAUGUGUCGCAAGGGAACGCUCAAAGCCCUUGCAUAUGAUUGGAAGCUUAACCGCGCCAUUGAAUAUAUCUCGAGAAGCUGGUCUUUUCUGCUGAUAUUUAUGUUUGUUUUGCGCUUAGUUUUGCACAAGACAGAGAAUGCGGACAAACAGAGAAACAAUAAGUAAACAACUCAGUAAUGGCA
rnacentral:tRNA from 1 species